rnacentral:antisense_RNA from 1 species
GAACACAAAAUGGCGACACGUGGUUAGCAUUCGUCGCCAACGAGAAAUUGGGGUCGGCCCGAAAGCUCUAGAAUGCACCCCUAUUCCUCCCCGGGGCCAUUCCCGCUCAACGAGUUUUAUGACCUAAAAAACCCCACAGGCUGGUCUGAAGGUCGGAGGCCUAAUUUUAACGCGUUUUCCUCCCUUUAAUUUGAAACGGGAACGCGAAUAACUAAAAUGUGGGCACAAUAUUUAACCUCUUGCUUUUUUAAAGCUUAAUAAUGGAUAGUAGGGGGCAGUAUCAAGGGAUAAUUUGGGUCCCCACAGUACCAAAGCAUUUAGAAACCUCUGCUUAAUUUAAGGAAUGAGAUAAAUUACUGCUUUUCUAGAUUUGGUAGCAUGGGCUGUUGUGCUGGAGAGAACGAGAGCUACGAAGAGACUAGAAUGCCUCUGACUUUUUCAUAGGACAGUUGGCCGAGGAAGACACUUAAAGAUGAAGUGCUUAAUUCAAGGUCACAGAAUGUCGGGGAUGGACCUCCAGAUUUCCUUACUGGUGAGACGUGGUCUUGUAACACAGUGGUUAAGAAUGUGACUUUGGAGCCAGCCUGCUAGGGGCUGAAUUCUGACUCAGCCAUUUAUUAACUGUGUGACCUUAGAUGGAGUCUCACUCUGUAGCCCAAGCUGGAGUGGCGUGAUCUCGACUCACUGCAACCUCCGCCUCCUGGGCUCAAGUGAUUCUCGUGCCUCAGCCUCCUGAGUAGCUGGGACUACA